rnacentral:rRNA from 1 species
UAUUAGAUGAGCCUAUAUUAGAUUAGCUAGUUGGUGGAGUAAUAGCCUACCAAGGCAAUGAUCUAUAGCUGAUCUGAGAGGAUGAUCAGCCACACUGGAACUGAGAUACGGUCCAGACUCCUACGGGAGGCAGCAGUGGGGAAUAUUGGACAAUGGGCGAAAGCCUGAUCCAGCCAUGCCGCAUGAGUGAAGAAGGCCUUUGGGUUGUAAAGCUCUUUUAGUGAGGAAGAUAAUGACGGUACUCACAGAAGAAGUCCUGGCUAACUCCGUGCCAGCAGCCGCGGUAAUACGGAGAGGGCUAGCGUUAUUCGGAAUUAUUGGGCGUAAAGGGCGCGUAGGCUGAUUAAUAAGUUAAAAGUGAAAUCCCGAGGCUUAACCUUGGAAUUGCUUUUAAAACUAUUAAUCUAGAGAUUGAAAGAGGAUAGAGGAAUUCCUGAUGUAGAGGUAAAAUUCGUAAAUAUUAGGAGGAACACCAGUGGCGAAGGCGUCUAUCUGGUUCAAAUCUGACGCUGAAGCGCGAAGGCGUGGGGAGCAAACAGGAUUAGAUACCCUGGUAGUCCACGCUGUAAACGAUGAAUGUUAAAUAUGGGAAGUUUA